rnacentral:lncRNA from 1 species
GGGGAGGGGUUGGGGUGAGGGCUGGCCUGUCUGAGGAGGGGCAUUUGCAGUGCUGGAGCAAGCCAUGGAGGACAGGAAUUGCUCCAGUCAGAGGAACAGCAAGGACAAGGGGCCCAAGACGGCAUGUACUAGAGGCUCCAUGCAUAGAAAAAGCCAGCCAUCCCCAGCGCUGUAACUGAGUGGCCAGUGGUGGGAGAAUUGGGACAUUGGCUUUUUCCUGCCUCUACACUACAACUAUACCAUCGGCUCUCCUGGUUCUCAAGCCUUCAGACAUGGAAAGGAACCACACUAUUGGCUCUCCUCGGUCUUCAGCUUGCCAACUCAAUGCAGAUCUUUGCAUUUGUCAGCCUUAUAACCAUGUGAGCUAAUUCCC